rnacentral:rRNA from 1 species
UACGGGGGGAGCAAGCGCUGUUCGGAUUUACUGGGCGUAAAGAGCUCGUAGGCGGUGUGUCGCGUCGGCCGUGAAAACCUGCAGCUUAACUGUGGGCUUGCGGUCGAUACGGGCAUGACUGGAGUUCGGCAGGGGAGACUGGAAUUCCUGGUGUAGCGGUGAAAUGCGCAGAUAUCAGGAGGAACACCCGUAGCGAAGGCGGCACUCUGGGCCGAUACUGACACUGAGGAGCGAAAGCGUGGGGAGCGAACAGG